GUGACCACCCAUCCCUAAUUGGGUGAGACAGUCUCAGAAUGGGAACAUCAAGUCCUGGUCCUGGGCUGCAUGACUCCGAGACAUCGUUUGUCCCAGAUUUGCAGUGUCAUGCAGGGAUCUGUGGUAAAUGACAGAUUUCCCCUUAUAAACUAGCAGCUUUUCAGCCUGCAAGGGGCUAUUUCGGCCUGCCAAAAGUGGCACACAGGGAGCACCGUGUGUAUGUGCACACUUUCACACAAGCAAGUGGCCGGGAAUACAGCCAGUCAGUAUGGAGAGGAGCUCCCUGCAGAUGGAGAAUUGAGGCACAGCAAUGGGGAACUGAGUAAUUUGCACCAGAUUUUACAAAUAUCUAUGACAGAACAGAAAAUUGAACUUGGGUCUCUCAUAUCCCAGGUUAAUGCCUAACCACUGAACCAUACUUCCUCUUUAAUUGAUUUCAGUGAUCUUGAGAUCAACCUGGCAAAGAACUGCAAUUUUAGAACAUGCUCAGAAUUAACCAAGCAGGUUACUAGAGAAAUAAAGGACAGCUUCGUGUCAUCAAAUUAUCUGCAAUUACAUCUUCACUAGGAACAAGUGAUCAAUCAAAACAGUUGCUUUGAAAACUGAUGCAUGGUUACAUGUCUAGUGAGGAAGAUGGCUCUAGACAACGUCAAUUUAGGACAUGGUAUCCUAACCAAAGAUGACCUGGAAGGUCUUCGUGAUCUUUCACAUUUUCAAAAUAUAUGUUACGCUGGGGAGAUGGCUUUCUGGGAAUGGAUGAGAGGUCUGGUCUUCAAGAUCCCUGCCUCAUCUUAUUCAGGUAGCGGGAAGUAGAAGAGACAAGGAACAGCCAGAAAAGGAGACGGUCACAUGGUCCUUGGAAGCUUCGUACAGGCUUGGGCUAAUGGCUCCUGCUAUCACCUUUGUUUUUAGUAAUGCCGAGCACUCUGACAACCUUUGUUCUCUCUUUCUCACUUUUAAAAUUCCUGUGGCAUUUUGUAAAAGUAGAUUUAGUAAACUCAGCUGAAAUGUCUCUUCAUUCUUUCUUGUGCAUCGUAUUGCUCAGCUUAAUUUAUAAACUUCUUUAGGUCAAUCAGGAUAAAAAAAAUAAAAGUCCUACCAUAUAUGUAAAUGUAAUAGCAGCAUUCAAUUCUCAUUAGUGACUGCUCUGGAUUGUUAUAGGUGACACUGGUAGAGAAAGUUAUGAAGUCAAACACUCAGAAAUUAGAAAAUGCCUGGGUUGUUUACCUGAGCAACCCCAAUAUGGUUGAGACAGGGAUCCUGACUCUAAAAUGUCAUACAGUCAUGUCAUUAAAGAUGAUAUCAUCAGGUUGCUGAAUUUAAGCUGCCUUAAAGCUGGCACUACCCGGCUUCUGAGUAGUUCAUUAUUUAGUCUUAACAUCCCUUUUAUAUCAUUACUGUAUGUCAUAGUACAUAUAUUUAGGAUUUAGGAUCUGAACACUGCAGCUCACCCAAGACACCAUACAUGAAAUGUAUAAUUCAGGGUAAUUUCUACAAUACAUUGAAUUCAAAUUGAAACACCUAUUUUUAAACACUACCACCAGGGAACUAGUGGAUUAGGAGCUGGGAUGCUGGAAUGCCUAGCCUAGUAGCACAGCCCACCAGUGAACUAUGAGACCACGGCAAGUUGGGAAACUCGUUGCCUGCCUACUUCUGUCAAAAGUUUCUGGUGGAAAAAUUUCUAAAUUAACUUUGCAAAGUCAAAAACUCAGAAGCUAGGGAAUUCCAGGAAUAAGGCUGCCUGUGAAGUUUUAAUUCAGCACCCUGAUGUGUAUGUAUUAUGAGGAAGCCUUUAAUUUUAAGACCACCUCUUUGACAGGAUUCCUGACUCAUCCAGUGCACAACAUAUUCAUAAACUUCAGGAACAAGAGCAGUACUACUUUUUACAGCAUUUGUGUAAACUGUGAUUUCCCAUGGCUUGACCAAAUCUGUGUGGAUUUCCCUGGGAACAGGAAAAAGCUCUUUAACUUCAUCUUUGCCAAAUUUCAAGGUUUUAGGCCCGAACCAUGGAGGAUUGCAAGACUACUGAGAAAAGGAAGAAUGUAUUCUUGAUAACGCUGAUUUUGGAAACUGCAGAACAAUUUUGUUCUGAUGUAACUUUGAAUGAAAAAUGUAGACCGAGGCAUAUGGACAUGUCAACCUGAAUGAUUAAAAUGUAGUAGUUUCAAGCAAUUGAAAGCAAGGCCCUAUAAUGACAAAUGUUUGGCCACCUUAACAAUCUACUAUACCAAUUCAUUUAAUUUAUUAAAAGACUAUUAUUCACUUCACCUGUAAAAAAAACAGCUGUGUGGGGCAUAUUUACAAUAUUUUUCUCAAACCAAAGUGUAUAGUUUAUAGUUAAUCUUCACCAUUUUUUUUAAAAAGCACAGGGGAGUCAAAUUUAGUUUGCUCAGUUAAAACACUUGAGAGAGUGUUGGGUAACAUUUCUCUUGCCAAAAAAAGUAAGUGCAAAAAGAAGAGAUCUAUUAAGGAGACAUUAAUUCCAUACUUAAGGGAAGUAAAUAUAGUUCCGAGCUGAGUAAGUCUUAGUCUGUUGCUUUGUAUAAAGAUAGUGUGAGAGACAUGAAGAAAAGAAUGCUUCUUCCAGUUAAGUAAGAGCUUGUGUACACAGAAACACUCAGGAAAGUUAAGAUAAAGAAAAUAAAAUUUUACUAGGAUGGUAAAAUGUAUUGGUUAAGCUUAUAGCAUCUCUGUGUGGAUACACUCAUGCUGAAACAGAGUGGCUUUAGUGGACUAUUUCUUAAUCCUUGAAGGAAUUCUCCAGUGAAAUAAGAUCCCAUAAGAUGCUUCAAUUCAAAAUUGAAGCAUCUUCAAUUGAAGCAUUUUGAUUGGAAAGGGGAGAAAUCCUGUUCAAUUGCUGCCUAACUCUGGAAGCACCUAAACUCACUACCUCACUCUUGUACAUUAUGUUUUCCUCAGGCCCCAUCUACAUGUUGCAGGUAUCUCACAAUUAACUGGUUAAUAGCACACUUACAUUAAGACCAGCUACACGUGCAAAGUAGCUAUCGCACAAUAAAAAGCUC